rnacentral:rRNA from 1 species
UACGGGGGGGGCAAGCGUUGUUCGGAAUUACUGGGCGUAAAGGGCUCGUAGGCGGCCAAUCAAGUCGGACGUGAAAUCCCUCAGCUUAACUGGGGAACUGCGUCUGAUACUGGAUGGCUUGAGUUUGGGAGAGGGAUGCGGAAUUCCAGGUGUAGCGGUGAAAUGCGUAGAUAUCUGGAGGAACACCGGUGGCGAAGGCGGCAUCCUGGACCAAUUCUGACGCUGAGGAGCGAAAGCAAGGGGAGCAAACGGG